UGGGGAAUCUUCCGCAAUGGACGAAAGUCUGACGGAGCAACGCCGCGUGAGUGAAGAAGGUUUUCGGAUCGUAAAACUCUGUCUUUUGGGGCGAACGUGAGUAUGGUGAACAAUCAUAGUCAGUGACGGUACCAAAGGAGGAAGCCACGGCUAACUACGUGCCAGCAGCCGCGGUAAUCGUAGGUGGCAAGCGUUGUCCGGAAUUAUUGGGCGUAAAGAGCGCGUAGGCGGGAUAGUCAGUCUGUUGUAAAAGUGCGGGGCUCAACCCCGUGAUCGCAAUGGAAACAGCUAUUCUUGAGUGCAGGAGAGGAAAGUGGAAUUCCCAGUGUAGCGGUGAAAUGCGUAGAUAUUGGGAGGAACACCAGUGGCGAAGGCGACUUUCUGGACUGUGUCUGACGCUGAGGCGCGAAAGCCAGGGGAGCGAACGGGAUUAGAUACCCCCGGUAGUCCUGGCCGUAAACGAUGGGUACUAGGUGUGGGAGGUAUCGACCCCUUCCGUGCCGGAGUUAACGCAAUAAGUACCCCGCCUGGGGAGUACGGUCGCAAGACUGAAACUCAAAUGAAUUGACGGGGUCAUAGCUGUUUCCUG
rnacentral:rRNA from 1 species